ensembl:snRNA U6 U6 spliceosomal RNA
AUGCUGGCUUCAGCAGCACAUAUACUAAAACUGGAAUGAUACAAAGAGGAUUAGCAUGGCCCCUGUGCAAGGAUGACAUGCAAAUUUGUGAAGCAUUCCAUAUUAUA